GAUUGGAUGGAAUCAAUUCCACCCACAAAACGAUGGCAUUCUUGUCUUGACGAAGGAACCAAAUGUUUGAAGAGUGAAUGCGUUUUUUCGGAAAAGCUGAUGCGACGAUGAUAUGCUUUAUUCCGCAAAAUCCACUUUACUGCCCUAAAUCAACUAUGGUAAAUAUGCGUUAUACUGAGAUGUUAAAAAGUACAGAUAUAUCAAACGACGUCAGCUGAUCCGCCAUUCUGCAGCCGGAGCAUCAUUGGAGAGAAACAUCCACUUGAAAGAAUAAAUAACGAU